rnacentral:rRNA from 1 species
CUACGGGGGGCAGCAGUGGGGAAUAUUGGACAAUGGGCGAAAGCCUGAUCCAGCCAUGCCGCGUGUGUGAAGAAGGCCUUCGGGUUGUAAAGCACUUUCAGUGGGGAAGAAAGCCUUGGGGCUAAUACCCUCGAGGAAGGACAUCACCCCCAGAGGAAGCACCGGCUAACUCCGUGCCAGCAGCCGCGGUAAUACGGAGGGUGCGAGCGUUAAUCGGAAUUACUGGGCGUAAAGCGCGCGUAGGCGGUCUGAUAAGCCGGUUGUGAAAGCCCCGGGCUCAACCUGGGAACGGCAUCCGGAACUGUCAGGCUAGAGUGCAGGAGAGGAAGGUAGAAUUCCCGGUGUAGCGGUGAAAUGCGUAGAGAUCGGGAGGAAUACCAGUGGCGAAGGCGGCCUUCUGGACUGACACUGACGCUGAGGUGCGAAAGCGUGGGUAGCAAACAGGAUUAGAUACCCGGGUAGUC